GUCUUCGUGGUGUAGUGGUCAGCACGCUCGACGCGUAACCGAGAGGUCCGUGGUUCGAUUCCCGGUGAAGGCG
rfam:Stegodyphus mimosarum contig32453, whole genome shotgun sequence.